UGGGGAAUUUUGCGCAAUGGGGGAAACCCUGACGCAGCGAUGCCGCGUGGAGGACGAAGGUCUUCGGAUUGUAAACUCCUCUUGCGGGGGAAAAAUGGCGGCGUGAAUAACGUCGUUCGAUGGUACUCCGCGAAUAAGCCACGGCUAACUUCGUGCCAGCAGCCGCGGUAAGACGAAGGUGGCGAGCGUUACUCGGAAUUACUAGGCGUAAAGCGUGAGCAGGCGGUUCGGUAAGUCCGUUGUGAAAGCCUUGGGCUCAACCCAGGGAGGCCAAUGGAUACUGCCGGACUUGAAUACGGGAGAGGUUACUGGAAUUCCUGGUGUAGCGGUGAAAUGCGUAGAUAUCAGGAGGAACACCGAAGGCGAAAGCAGGUAACUGGACCGUUAUUGACGCUGAGUCACGAAAGCCGGGGGAGCAAACAG
rnacentral:rRNA from 1 species